UACGUAGGCAGCGAGCGUUGUUCGGAAUUACUGGGCGUAAAGAGUGUGUAGGCGGUGCUCUAAGUUCGGUGUGAAAUCUCCUGGCUUAACUGGGAGGGCGCGCCGAAAACUGGAGUGCUCGAGCGUGGGAGAGGAAAGCGGAAUUCCUGGUGUAGCGGUGAAAUGCGUAGAUAUCAGGAGGAACACCUGCGGUGUAGACGGCUUUCUGGACCAUUGCUGACGCUGAGACACGAAAGCGUGGGUAGCAAACAGG
rnacentral:rRNA from 1 species